rnacentral:rRNA from 1 species
GACGAACGCUGGCGGCGUGCCUAAUACAUGCAAGUCGAGCGAAGCGGCGGAUGGGGGAGAAACGCGUGGGUAACGUGCCCUUAAGACUGGGAUACCAUUUGGAAACAGAUGCUAAUACCGGAUACUAAAGGAUGGACCGGCGUUGCAUUAGCUAGUUGGUAAGGUAACGGCUUACCAAGGCGAUGAUCCAUAGCCGGGUUGAGAGACUGAUCGGCCACAUUGGGACUGAGACACGGCCCAGACUCCUACGGUAGGCAGCAGUAGGGAAUCUUCCACAAUGGACGAAAGUCUGAUGGAGCAACGCCGCGUGAGUGAAGAAGGUUUUCGGAUCGUAAAGCUCUGUUGUUGGUGAAGCGGUAAUCAACCAGAAAGUCACGGCUAACUACGUGCCAGCAGCCGCGGUAAUAC